GCCUCCCUCUUUCUUCGUGCUUAACACAUGCAAGUCGAACGGAAAGGUCCUGCUUUUGUGGGGUGCUCGAGUGGCGAACGGGUGAGUAACACGUGAGUAACCUGCCCUUGACUUUGGGAUAACUUCAGGAAACUGGGGCUAAUACCGGAUAGGAGCUCCUGCUGCAUGGUGGGGGUUGGAAAGUUUCGGCGGUUGGGGAUGGACUCGCGGCUUAUCAGCUUGUUGGUGGGGUAGUGGCUUACCAAGGCUUUGACGGGUAGCCGGCCUGAGAGGGUGACCGGCCACAUUGGGACUGAGAUACGGCCCAGACUCCUACGGGAGGCAGCAGUGGGGAAUAUUGCACAAUGGGCGGAAGCCUGAUGCAGCAACGCCGCGUGCGGGAUGACGGCCUUCGGGUUGUAAACCGCUUUCGCCUGUGACGAAGCGUGAGUGACGGUAAUGGGUAAAGAAGCACCGGCUAACUACGUG
rnacentral:rRNA from 1 species